rnacentral:lncRNA from 1 species
UCUUCUGGUGUGUCUGAAAACAGCUACAGUGUACUUAUGUAUAAUAAUAAAUAGAUCUUAAAAAAAAAAAAGCAAACCAAAACAAAAAGAAUUAAGCUUCUCAUAAAAGUAUCCCCUUCCUGGUAGCCCACUCAGUAUUCUCCUUCUUCUUUCUCUUCCUUGCUCUCUUCUGCAUCAGAAUCUACAGCAGCCUCCUCCCAGUCCUUCCGUAAGGUAGCCAUGUCCUCAAGGGCCCCAGGGUUUUCAGCAUUAAUGGGCUUCUCUCUCUCCUGUGUGCUUUCUGUUUGUAGGGUUUGCCCGGGCUGUGCAUUCCGUUACAAAGCUGCAUCACAACCAUUAGCACUAAGUCUCAUUGAUGCCUGAGGGAUACAGGGUUAGCCCCUCCUCCCAGCUCACUUCCUCCUUUUGAGACCGCGUCUUACUGUACAGCCCGUGCUGACUCUGAAAUACUGAUCCUCGUGCCUUAGCUUCCCAGGGUUGGGAUUACAGCCCUGGGCUGCACUACCAUGUACAGCUACAAAGUAGAGCAUUUAUACUUUUUUUAGUUAUUUUAUGUAUAUGGGUGUUUAGCCUAUGCGUUCUCAUCUACAUACCAGUGUACAAAGGCAUGCUUGGCAUAUAUAAGAUCAAAUUUGUGGUAAAAAAACAAAACAAAAAAACCCGCCUGCAUUUUCCUGAAUUUGUACGCCGUCUUGCACAGGGCCAUGCUAAUCUUACCUGUACAGUUCUGAUGUUACUAUAUCUACUGCAGAAGCCAUCCCUAUAUAUUUAUAAUUUUGUGGAGAUGUAUUAUUAAGUUAUGGUCAGUCCUUUGUCUUGAGCUAUCUCUGGUUAAAAUUAACGAAUAGUUCCUGGUGUGGUAGCAGAUGCCUUUAAUUAUAGCACUCAGGAGGCAGAGGCAGGUGGAUCUCUUUGAGUUCAAGGUCAGUCUGGUAUACAUAGUGAAGUUCAGGAUAGCCAGGGCUCUGUAGAGACCUUGCUUACAAAAACAAAAACAAAAACAAAAAACAACUGAUAGCUCCUCACAAAAAAACCUCUUUACUUAUCAUUACUGAUAGAGAAAGGGAGAGUGUGUGUGUGCAUGUGUGCAUGCAGGCACAUUGAUUGUAGUGCACAUAUGGUGGAUCAGAGGAGGACAAGGAAAUUCACUUUUUCCUAUUGUGAGUUUUGUAAUAAAUACUUUUAGCUACU